UAUUGCACAAUGGGCGCAAGCCUGAUGCAGCCAUGCCGCGUGUGUGAAGAAGGCCUUCGGGUUGUAAAGCACUUUCAGUCGUGAGGAAGGUGGUAGUGUUAAUAGCACUAUCAUUUGACGUUAGCGACAGAAGAAGCACCGGCUAACUCCGUGCCAGCAGCCGCGGUAAUACGGAGGGUGCGAGCGUUAAUCGGAAUUACUGGGCGUAAAGCGCAUGCAGGUGGUUUGUUAAGUCAGAUGUGAAAGCCCGGGGCUCAACCUCGGAAUAGCAUUUGAAACUGGCAGACUAGAGUACUGUAGAGGGGGGUAGAAUUUCAGGUGUAGCGGUGAAAUGCGUAGAGAUCUGAAGGAAUACCGGUGGCGAAGGCGGCCCCCUGGACAGAUACUGACACUCAGAUGCGAAAGCGUGGGGAGCAAACAGGAUUAGAUACCCUGGUAGUCCACGCCGUAAACGAUGUCUACUUGGAGGUUGUGGCCUUGAGCCGUGGCUUUCGGAGCUAACGCGUUAAGUAGACCGCCUGGGGAGUACGGUCGCAAGAUUAAAACUCAAAUGAAUUGACGGGGGCCCGCACAAGCGGUGGAGCAUGUGGUUUAAUUCGAUGCAACGCGAAGAACCUUACCUACUCUUGACAUCCAGAGAACUUUCCAGAGAUGGAUUGGUGCCUUCGGGAACUCUGAGACAGGUGCUGCAUGGCUGUCGUCAGCUCGUGUUGUGAAAUGUUGGGUUAAGUCCCGCAACGAGCGCAACCCUUAUCCUUGUUUGCCAGCGAGUAAUGUCGGGAACUCCAGGGAGACUGCCGGUGAUAAACCGGAGGAAGGUGGGGACGACGUCAAGUCAUCAUGGCCCUUACGAGUAGGGCUACACACGUGCUACAAUGGCGCAUACAGAGGGC
rnacentral:rRNA from 1 species